UGCUUGCUUCUGAAGCACAUUACUGAAAUUGGGAUAAUACAGAGAAGACUGGCAUGACCUCUGCACAAGGAUGACAUUUAGGAAAGAUAUUAAAGAUUAUUUU
ensembl:snRNA U6 U6 spliceosomal RNA